CCAUGCCGCGUGUGUGAAGAAGGCCUUCGGGUUGUAAAGCACUUUCAGUAGGGAGGAAGGUAGUGUAGUUAACACCUGCACUAUUUGACGUUACCUACAGAAGAAGCACCGGCUAACUCCGUGCCAGCAGCCGCGGUAAUACGGAGGGUGCGAGCGUUAAUCGGAAUUACUGGGCGUAAAGCGCAUGCAGGCGGCCUGUUAAGUCAGAUGUGAAAGCCCGGGGCUUAACCUCGGAAUUGCAUUUGAAACUGGCAGGCUAGAGUCUUGUAGAGGGGGUAGAAUUUCAGGUGUAGCGGUGAAAAUGCGUAGAGAUCUGAAGGAAUACCAGUGGCGAAGGCGGCCCCCUGGACAAAGACUGACGCUCAGAUGCGAAAGCGUGGGGAGCAAACAGGAUUAGAUACCCUGGUAG
rnacentral:rRNA from 1 species